ACACUUUUCAAUAUGCCUGCUGAUUUCCGCACAUGAUAGGGAAUUCGUGGCAGCUUUUACAGAGCAGGUAACCUUUGGAGGAGGGAAUACCAUAGUUGUCACAUGAAGUAGCUGCAUGUGGAUCUAUUUCCGUGCAAGUACCUACAGAGAACAGCUUAAAGAAGCAACCUUCUUUUGAGUAGCCCUGCCAUAAUGGACCUUCUCACUAGUUAGCAAAUUUCACCUGUUAUGGUUAUCUUGAAUGUUCUGGGCUUCACUGCCUCCAAACUAUGUACAUAUAUGAUAACUAUUUCUCUUUCCUCAUGCUAUAGUGAUACAAGAAUACUUCUGUUAAAGGAAACUGAGCCCUCUGCUGCAUCUGUUUCCAAAGCAAAGCCUCUUAAGGUUUGUCCACCACCCAGAGGUGCAACCCAGCUGAUGGACUACGAAUUCUCCGGGCACCUACCAAAAUUGUUCAUCUUCCUUCUCUCUCUUUGAUGUAUGGAAAGAUAGAUCAGUGUACAGAAAAACUACCGCCCUCUUCCUCACACCUUCCCUUCAUAUUUUUAAUAAUAAUAAAAAAGAUAGUUGACUCA
rnacentral:lncRNA from 1 species